rnacentral:lncRNA from 1 species
GUGUUUAUUUUUAUGUGGUGCUGAGGAUCGAACCCAGGGCCUCGCAUAUGCUAGGCUCAGCUGCAUCCUGGAUCCUCAUCCAGGAUCCCCUGCAUUCCAGCCAGUGGAGUCAAGGAACAACUGCUUAUUCUUCAUCCAACAAACCAACCACUAUUUAUUGAGACUGACUAUUUUUCAGGCAUAAUGCUUGGAGGUAGGAUAGUCCAGGGAAUCUAAUAGACAAUGGCCUGUACUCCUGAGACCCUGACCAGCAUCUCAGUUGGGAUAGACCUAAGGUCUGAGGGUCAUCCUGCUUCUCCUGGUACCAUGGUCCCCUCCACUGUGAGGAACAGUAGAAAAGAUACUGAUCUUUUGCAGUAAGCACUGGCCACAUGUGGCUAUUAAACACUUGAAAUGUGGCCAGUCCUGAGAUGUGCAUUAAAGUGUAAACCACACAUUGGAUUCAGAGACUUCCCAGGAUCCAAAAGACCAGAGGAUCUUAAAAUUAUAAAUAUUUUAAGGCAUUGGUUACAUGUUGAAAUGAUGAUAUUUUUAAUUUAGUGGGUUAAAUAAAAUAUACAGGUGCUCCACAGUGGGAGAGGGGAUUGGUUCCAGGACCCCCAAGGAUACCAAAAUCCAGGAAUGCUCAAGUCCUGUAUAUAAAAUAUCAUGGUAUUUACAUAUAACCUAUGCACAUUCUCUCACAUAUAUAUUUCAAGCAGGGGGUCUUGAUAUGUGACCCAGGUUGGACUUGAACUCCUGGGCUCCAAAGAUCCUCCUGCCUCAGCCUUCCAAGUAACUGGGACUGCAGGUGACACCACCCCUGGCCCAGCUCUCUGGUAUACUUUAAAUCAUCCCAGAUUUGUAUCUCCUCAUAUAAUGCAAAUGCUGUGAAAAUAGUCACUGUAUUGUUUAGGGAAUAAUCACUAGGAAAAAGAUAGUCAUAAGUGUCAAACUAUUUGUUUCUGAAUGUUUUCUGCCGAUGGUUGGUUGAAUUCAGGAUGUAGGGCUCCUCUCCUCCAGAAGCUCUCCAGGCUCUACGGCUGCUUUGUUCCUGCCUUGUGUUCUGCACGGCUCCAUCAUCAGCCCAGAUGCCCUCAGCUCCGCAGUCACAUCUCCCCCUCUGACUCUCCGGCCUCCCUCUUAAAAGGACCUCUGUGAUUCCAUUGGGCCACACAAAUAAUCCCUGAUAAUCUCCCCAUCUCAAGAUCCUUAAUCAUCCCGGAAAGUCCUGUUUGCCAUGUCAGGUGACACAUUCACAGGUUUCAGAUUAAGAUUUGGACAUCUUUGAGGGAGGCAUUAUUCUGCCUGCUACAAAGUCUGCCUUUCUUCUUUGUUACAUGCAAUAGUGGUACUCCCUACAGAGUCUGCCUUGUGGUAUGCCAUGAGGGCCAAAUGGUUGACUCUAUACUGAGAGUUUAGCAUAGUAGUUGGCACACAAUAAGUACUCAAUAAAGGUCACAGCUGCUAUUCAAUCUCCUCCUAUCAU